CGGGCGGACGUCGGCGGCGGAGGAGGAAGGGAAGGGGAGAUGAGGGGAGGCGGCAUCGUGGACGAAGAGGAGGCGUGCGGGAUCGUGGACGAAGAGGAGAUGAGGGAAUUGAGUGGGGAAUCGCCCGACGGACGGACGCAAGAAAGGCAUUUAUUCAGCAGGAUAAUGAGUUAUCCGAAAUGAGGCAGAGACUGCAAGCACAUGCUGAUUAUAUGUGGGAGUUGAGAAUGCAAACAAAAUAGCUGUUUGCGAAUGUUGAGGAUCGAAGAGAGAAGCUUUGCAUCAAGAUCAGAAUGCUGACAGUAGAGCUGUCAGCGCAGCACGAAGUAAACUAGCUACAGGUAUUCAAUUGUGUGUGUGAGAUCGAGAAAUAGUUGCACUUUUUUCUUAAUCUAUGGGCCAGGCUUCCUGAUAUUAUACAGCUGUAGUGCCAAAUUUUUAUCUAAUGUCCGUGAUUAAUCUUCCUCUAUUAAGAAACCAUAAAUUCUGCGCGCAUCAAAUUUUCUAUAGAAAAGCAUCUCCUUCUAUGCAGUAUUUUCAUUUUCUGUACUGAAGUUGCGAUAAGCAAGCAAUAACUCCUUCAUGAGAACUGAACAUUGGCCAUUUACUGAUGUUUUUCCUUUAAAAUCAAUAAUAAUAAAUCUAUGAUUACCUAGGCUAGAUCAGUGAUGAAUCCAAAGGCUACAUAAAUCUGCAGUGGAGGCAUGUAUGUUCCUGCAUUAAACUUUUACUUUGAGUACAAGAGAAAGGACAUAUUGUAUGUUAUCAUCUGCUCCUACUCUUGUCGUAAAUCUGGUACACAAUGUACAUGCAUCCUCAUGAUAUGGAUUCUAGAAAGAAAAGUUGUAUGUGUUUCCAAACUGGAUUUUGAUGCUAUAUACUUUUACUCCAUGAAUCUGACUCGAACAUUUAAAAGUCUGGAACAAAUGUUACAGGUGGGACAAGUUGUUCAGAUGUUUCAUGCGUACAUGUUAAACUCCAGUAUUGUUCCGAACGGACAUGUCACUCUCCAUGUGGCAACCUUCAUAAGCUGCCAAUAUUGUGUACCAGCUCUCUGUAAAAUUCUAUGCAGGAGUUUUUUUCUUUCACAAAUCACAAUCACAUUAUUGGUGUUCCAGGAUCAUAGUGUGCAAAUUUGUCUGAUGUUGAUGCUUGCAUUGCA